AGUUAGGAGAUGCAAAUGAAACAAUCAUGUACUAAAAGUGUGAUAAAUGAACGGGACAGCAGCUAUUGGUUGACGAAUGAUAAUCAGUGUUGAAUACAGGAGUGAAUUUUCAUAGGUUUUCUGUCGGAAAAAUGUUGUAAUAUCUGAAGGUUGUAAGUACGCUCUUGACCCAAUCAUAUCCGAUUAUGUACAUUUGUUAAUAUUUGCUGACUCGUCUCGUCGAACGAACUACAGUAUGGUUACCUACACCGAGAUCCUUCCGAUGUCAUCAAGAUCAAAGAAACAAAAAAUUACAUGAUUAAUUUUUUUAAUAUAUAAUAGAAAUUAUAUAAAUAAACAUAUUAUAACGCAAAUCAGAUAAAUAAAAUCAUACAUAUUAUAGAAAUACAGAUGAUAAGGGAAGAAGUAAAACGAAAGAAGAAAAGGGAGUUUGUGGGAGAAAUAGGAAGAUUGGUAGUAUAAGAAUGAGAUGUUAAUACAUUGAAUGUCAUGUUGGUCAUCUAUGACCGAAGAUUGUUUCCUUAACGGAGCCAUGAUGGUUAUUAGUGACUGCAGUACUUAAAAUUUUUCUUAUUACUUUGUCAUUAUAUGUUUAGAAUAUUGAAAAUUCUCAUGCGGCUCUGAAAACGUCAUUUAAAUUUGAAUAAUGAAGAUUAUUUUAUGUAACUUUUGAGAAGAGCUAUAGAAAAUAAAGAAGUAGAAGGCAUAUAAUAAGGAUGAAAUAGAAUUAGCAGAAGGAGUAAUCGACGUAUACAUAAAAAAACUGGAUUACAAAUAAGAUAUGGAUUUUCUGCAGUAUUUCAAUAAGAAAAAAUUAAAGAAAUUGAUUACAAAAGUCUAGAAGAGAGAAAGUAGGCUUUCUGCGAAAAUGAAGAGAAGGAAUUAGAUUAUCUUUACAUAAUAAAUUCAAGUAGGGUAAUUCAAAUAACUAUAGAGAUAUUAUUUUUCUAAGCAAUGCACGUAAGGUCUAUGCACUUAUGUUAAAGGAGAUUUGACAAAGGGAUAGAAAACAAGAAAAUUCAGUUAGAAAAAUCGAAUCCAUAAUAGAUAAUAUUUAUAUCCUGCAAUAUAUAAUAAAAAAAGAAGUAGGAACGUAGAAGAGAUAAACAAGAUUAAUUGAAAUAAUAAAGGAAAUAUAUGUGGGUAAAGAAACAUACUUAAAAAUGAUAACAAACUAUAAGUGAUUAUGAAUAGAAACCUAUUAGAAGGUUUUCGGAAAAUAAAUGAGACGAGACAAGCGUACCUAAUUAAAAAUACUCUCUUCAUUAUAUUCAUUUUGGGCAUGAAAGAGAAAAGAACUAUGUUGUUCUGGUCAUUAACAUGAUAAUUUGAUAGCCAAUUAUAGAGAAAUAAGUGAUUGAUGAAACAAAAAAUAAUGAAGACAUGAAAUGAAUUCUUGGCACCAACUAAAUGAAAACUAUGGUAUUUUGCAAAACAAAAAUAAAAAGAGUAAACGAAGAAACAAAUGAUUGAAUAAGUUAAAGAAGUUAAAGAACGAACAAAUUAAACAUGUAUAAAAGUUAGUGAAGAAAAUGAAUGUCUUAAUAAAAAAGAAAGUAUCUUCAAGGAUGAUUUUAACAAAAAAAUGAAUGUUUGGAGAGCAUUUUUUUGAAAAUAAACUAUUUUUAUGGUUUUUAAUAGUGGAAUAGUUAAAAAAUGUUGGAAGAAACAUGGAAAGAAGUAAGAAAUUAAGAAAAAGAAAUAAAAAUUCGGAUAAAAAUUAAAGACUAGUAGAAUAAAUAGAAUAGUAGCAGAAAGAAGAGUAGAGAACAGAUUACACAGUAAAAGUGGCUACUACUACUAUACUAUUAUUGCUAUGUCAUUGGUGGUUCUUAUCUCAAGAAUGAGAUGUCCUACUAGAGGCUUUGAAAAAAGAUUAAAAUUAAAAUAUUUCUUUUUAUAAACGAUUGACGGAGAUGAAAUAAAUUUGUUUUUACUUAAUGUAUAUUUAUUGAGAGCAUUAAAAAAAAAAAACUAUUCGAGAAUAUCGAAAAACAAAAAAAUAUGAGGUUUUUUUUUGCAAACUUUUUUGGUCCAAUUAAAAACUAAAUGGACUAUUCAAAUUAAUUAAUAAAUAUAAGUCAAUGACGAUCACUGAUUUUUGAAAUUUUUUUUUUCAAUUUGAAUUGAAAAUUAAGCACGGAAAAUCUAUGAAAAAAAGUUAUUUUUACAUCUAUCUUGUCCAAUCUAUCUGAAUAUUUGAUUUACGAAAAAGACUUGUAAAUAUUGAAAUUGUUUAGUUAUUUCUUAAUGAAAUUCUUUAUUUAUUUCAAAAUUUGAAGAAAGAUAUUAAGGCUAUUCAUCAUCUUUGGUUUUAUAAUGGUUUUUAUACUAAAAAUCAGAACAGGCUAGUUUUGUUAACUUUGCAGUUCCAGUUCUUCGCAAUUGUUGUAUCCUAUCCGUUUCGUAAUUUUGGAAAGCCCUAAUUUAAUGACUCUAUUUUAAUUAUUUUAUUUUAUUUUACUUUGUAGAAAAGAAAGAAACAGAGGAAGAA